AUCGCAUCAAUAUGUUGGAUGCUAAAGUCAGGAAGCUUGUUGCUAAGAAGGAUUGGACUGAGCUUCUCAACUACGAUCAGGUUUGAGACUCAAUUCUCAAUUUUUUUUAACAGUUCAAUAUAAUUGUUUAGUAGCCUAACCAUUGUUACCAAGAUUAUGAUGAUAAUUUGUUGGUCAAUGAAUUGAUGAUUGGACCCUCAUAUGUUACAGGACAACCUUUGUACCUUGAGAAGAAGCGAUUUUCCUUAUCAAUACUGAAUUAAAGAGGAGUUUUUAUAAAUCUGGAGUACAGUGUGAAUAUACACUCUUAGAUGUGGAUUAAUCGAUAACCAUUGUUUGUCUUCUAUGGACCAAUCUUGAUUAUAACUUUUCUUUUUUCCUUGGCCACUAUUUGAGGUGUAGGUAGAUACUGAGUAGUGUGUUUGUUAAUCUUGUUUGAAUGGGGUGCUUUUUUAAUUAUUAGCUCAGAUGUAGUUUUGGGUUGACAUGUAUAUACGUUUGAAUUUUUAGAUGCCUAAUGAUGGGAAAAUUUGGCAGUUAAUCAAAGAACUAAGAAGUGGGCAUGUGUUUGAUGGUUGGAAAGAAGGGGUAAUAAGCUUCGCACCGACUUACAAGUAUGAAAUCAACUCUGAUAGAUACGUUGGGGAAAACCCGAAAGAAGGAGAGAAGAAGAGAUCCCCAGCAUGGUAAGUGAGACUGUUGCUGGAUCAUUACUCUUAACUCCAUAUAGUUAUUGACCUUACUAAAGAAUUCCUCGAUUGUUGGCGACUGGACGAAGUUCUGUUAUUUCUACUCAUCUAUAAAGCAAUAUUUCUGGAGAAUGCAACAAUCUAAUUUCUAUGGAGUUAAGUUUACAUUUAGUGUUUACUAUAUAUGUUUUAUCAUACUUAGUACUUGUUACAAGACAUUAUAUAUGUGCAGGUGCGACCGUGUAUUAUGGUUAGGAAAAGGCAUAAAACAACUUUCUUAUGAGCGAAGUGAGAUAAAGCGAUCAGAUCAUCGGCCCGUGAGUUCAAUGUUCCUUGUUGAAGUCGAAAUCUUUGAUCAUCGCAAGCUCCAUAGAGCUCUUAAUCUCUAUCGUUGCAAUACAUCCUAAUAUAUAUUUUCCUGAGUGAAGGUUGACAGUGACAUAAAAGUAGUGUCUUACUAGUAAGUGCUUGAUGACCA
rnacentral:lncRNA from 1 species